ACAUGGAUAGCUUUUGGUCAGCUUGGACAGCAGGUUAAUCGUGCUUGCUUCUGUCUGUAGUGAAAUUAGCUAUUUUUAAGAAUCACAGGCCAGCAAAUUCAACAGCGGGAAGGAGAGAGAGAGAGGUCAGUGUGGAGUCAUUGCAGAAGGACCGGUAUCUGCUGUUUGCUGCUGAAGAUACUCCUAUAUAAAGAUAUAGAUGAAUACUUUCACACCCAAAGGUCUGCAGAGAUGGUGAUAUCUCCAUGCCAGAGAUUCAAAAAUCAAAUUGAGAAGGCCUUGAGCAACUUCCCUUCACUGGACCCGCUUUGAGUGGGAGGCUGGACCAGAUGACUUCUGGAGAGCCCUUCCAGCUGCUUUGUCCUUCCAGUGAAUUCAGCCUCCUUCUCCCAGAAAGGAGCUUUCUGACUUGUCUAUGAUGCUCUGCUGUUGCUCUCAGCCUGUACUUCAUGGAGAAUUGCGAGGAGAGUCGCAGAUUGGUGGUCAAAAGUAAG
rnacentral:lncRNA from 1 species